rnacentral:rRNA from 1 species
GUGUGUUACAUGUGUCACACGGGACUGCCGGUCUUAAAACCGGAGGAAGGUGGGGAUGACGUCAAGUCCUCAUGGCCUUUAUUGCCCAGGGCGUACACACGUGCUACAAUGGGUGGUACAAAGAGCAGCCAGCUCGCGAGAGUGAGCAAAUCUCAAAAAGCCAUCCUCAGUUCGGAUUGAAGUCUGCAACUCGACUUCAUGGAGUUGGAAUCGCUAGUAAUCGCGGAUCAGCAUGCCCGCGGUCCGAAUACGUUCCGGGCCUU